rnacentral:rRNA from 1 species
UACGUAGGGGGCUAGCGUUAUCCGGAAUUACUGGGCGUAAAGGGUGCGUAGGUGGUUUCUUAAGUAAGAGGUGAAAGGCUACGGCUCAACCGUAGUAAGCCUUUGAAACUGAGAAACUUGAGUGCAGGAGAGGAGAGUAGAAUUCCUAGUGUAGCGGUGAAAUGCGUAGAUAUUAGGAGGAAUACCAGUUGCGAAGGCGGCUCUCUGGACUGUAACUGACACUGAGGCACGAAAGCGUGGGGAGCAAACAGGAUUAGAUACCCUGGUAGUCCCUGAG